AUUCUUUACAGCUGCAAAUUUCCCCCUACAAAGAACAGCUUUGCCGGGGCCAUUUCAAAAUAUGGCAAAGAAACUUGUUUUGGGGCAAAAUAUUUUUAUUUUCUUCCUCAUAUCGUAAUGUUCUGCCAGGGCCAGGUUGGAAAGUAAGUCAUGAUAUACGUGGUUAAAUAAAACCCAUCUGAUGAGAAUUUAUGGUUUGUAGGGCAUGACUCCCCAAGCCCCUUAGGUAGGAAUUUGGGCAAGAUAAAAAAUCAGAGUUUAGUCCUCAAUCAUGAUGAGCUGCUGAGUUUCACACAAGGCCUGUUGUCAUUUAAACUAUAGCCUAAAUGUCUCUCAAAGUCAGCUUGGCCCCAAAAACCAGGAAUAAUUAAAGGAAAGGCAAGAUUGUGGGUGGGCUAGCUCAGCUCACAGUUAUAAUAAUUCUUCUCACUGAUACUGUUACAGCAGGUAGCUCCUCCGGCUUGAGCAGGACAGGAGAGCGCUUCCCACCCACAACCAGGAAUGUCAGGCGACCCCUCAGGUGAUGGUCAGGUGGUUGUUGCACUGUUUCUCUAAAAUAAUAAUUGGUAGCAACCAGCGCCAAGGAAAGGCAGUCUCCCAGUAGAUAGAAAAAAACCUGAAACGUGGUCAGGUUUAUCCACAAUCUUGCUCAUGUGGUCCUGUGGCCCCCACCGAGGAGCUGGGUUAGGGUUGGGAAGACAGCUUCGACUCCCCAAGACUUCAUCUCCAACCGGACCGGUCAGCGCUCCUGACUCACUGGCCGCCUACCCACCAUAUCAUCCUUCGAAACUCGGAUCCCCACGUUUUUGGGGAGAAGGAUUUGAGUAAUAAUAAAACUCCCGUCUCCCCCGCAGCCGGCUCUGCGUGAAUUACACUUUCCUUAUUGCGAUUCCCCUGCCCCGAUGCGACCAAGGGGCCCGCCCAGGAGCGCAGAGAAACCAUUAAGGGGUCACAGGACCGGGCUCCCAGGGUGACUCCCUGGCCACCAAGUCCUCCAGCAGGUCACUCCUGGAUUCCGGCUGGACCCCCUGCCCAGGGAGGGGCCCAGGAGACGCGGAAAUCGGGUCCCCCGCGGGUGAAGGGGAGGUGGGAGCCCCAGAGGAGGGCGGGAAGGCUCGGCCGGGGACGUGCCCGAGGGGGAGGAGAGGGGCUCCCGUCCGGGUCCGGCGCUGCGGGUCUCAGGGUCCGCGUCCCGCCCACCCCGCGGGGGUCUGGGCUGCGGGCGGAGCCUCCUCCGGGACCUGCACCUGCGCCGGCCGCCGCCAGGGGCGCCGCUGAGCACCCGCCUCCGCCGCUUCCCCCUCCCCGCCGGGCGGGGCCGCGCGCCUCCCACCCGGGACCCACUUCGGAGUUCGCCCCCUUCGGGACUCGCCUCCGGGAGACCCCCGAGGGGGAGAGGGCGCUUCCUCCGCGUCCAUCGCCCUUGCCGCCCCUGGGUGGAACUGUUUUACAAAUCUGAGGGCCACCAUUCCAGGUAUGGCUAGCCUCCCGUUGGAAAAUUUUUACCAUCUUUCUUCAAUGUAGUUCUUAUUCUUGUGGGCAAACCAAGACUUUUCGUUUGGAGGGGACCUUGGGAUCCCCAGGAGGGGAAUCUCCGGGAGCGGGAGGCAUAGCUAAGGCUUCCUCUCUAGAAGGUGGAGUUGUCGUUGCAGCCCGUUUGCCUCUUCGUCUGCCUUUCUGCUUUGCUGCUUUUCGGGGCCUCCUGCAGCGCAUCACUGCCACCUCUUCCAGGGCCCACACAGCGUUUAACAGAGGUGGAAUUUCCUCCUUAUACUUUGUUUUUUCACUUCCAGCCGUUAAAAGUCUUUUAUUCUUUGUAAACAGCCUCAUGAACAUGCAAAGUGGCAGAAGCAUAUUUGGAAUCUGUGUAAAUACUUGCCUUCUGCUCUUUUCCUAGCCAGAGAGCUCUUGUCAGAGCUAUUAGCUCUGCUUUCUAAGCAGAAGUUUCUGCAGACAGAGACGGUACCUCUACUGCUGAGUCCAAAGUCACCGCGGCAUACCCAGCUCGGCAGACUCCCCUUAGUACGAAACUGCUUCCAUCAGUAAAAUAUUCAAUGUCCAGGUCCCCGAGGGGCCAAUCUGUUAAAUCUUUCCAGCUUGAGAACACUUUAUCUACCACGUCCACACAGCAAUGAAGGGGACUUCCUGUGUAGGGUCCAGCCCUACGGGGGCUUAGCGGGUGUUCUCCCCGUGUGCAGAGACAAGAGAUCGUAAGAAAUAAAGACACAAGACAAACAGAUAAAGAGAAAACAGCUGGGCCCAGGGGACCACUACCACCAAGACAUGGAGACCGCUAGUGGCUCCGAACGGCUGGCUGCGCUGAUAUUUAUUGAAUACAAGACAAGGGGGCAGGGUACGGACGGUGAGUCGUCCAAGUAAUUGAUAAGGUGAAGCAA
rnacentral:lncRNA from 1 species